rnacentral:rRNA from 1 species
ACCUACGGGAGGCAGCAGUAGGGAAUCUUCCACAAUGGGCGAAAGCCUGAUGGAGCAAGGCCGCGUGGGUGAAGAAGGUCUUCGGAUCGUAAAACCCUGUUGUUAGAGAAGAAAGUGCGUGAGAGUAACUGUUCACGUUUCGACGGUAUCUAACCAGAAAGCCACGGCUAACUACGUGCCAGCAGCCGCGGUAAUACGUAGGUGGCAAGCGUUAUCCGGAUUUAUUGGGCGUAAAGGGAACGCAGGCGGUCUUUUAAGUCUGAUGUGAAGGCCUUCGGCUUAACCGGAGUAGUGCAUUGGAAACU